UGAACGCUGGCGGCGUGCCUAAUACAUGCAAGUCGAGCGAACAGAUGCGGAGCUUGCUCCUCUGACGUUAGCGGCGGACGGGUGAGUAACACGUGGAUAACCUACCUAUAAGACUGGGAUAACUUCGGGAAACCGGAGCUAAUACCGGAUAAUAUAUUGAACCGCAUGGUUCAAUAGUGAAAGACGGUUUUGCUGUCACUUAUAGAUGGAUCCGCGCCGCAUUAGCUAGUUGGUAAGGUAACGGCUUACCAAGGCAACGAUGCGUAGCCGACCUGAGAGGGUGAUCGGCCACACUGGAACUGAGACACGGUCCAGACUCCUACGGGAGGCAGCAGUAGGGAAUCUUCCGCAAAGGGCGAAAGCCUGACGGAGCAACGCCGCGUGAGUGAUGAAGGUCUUCGGAUCGUAAAACUCUGUUAUUAGGGAAGAACAAAUGUGUAAGUAACUAUGCACGUCUUGACGGUACCUAAUCAGAAAGCCACGGCUAACUACGUG
rnacentral:rRNA from 1 species